GCGGGAAAGGGCGCGCUGACUUACUUCCGCGUCAGGGAAUCCCGAGGAGACAUAUUGCAUGUGGGCACGGCUUUUCUAAUAUUAUACAACCUCCAGUCUCUGUCCCAGUCGUUCUGUGAGAUCCCUGAGAAGCAAUUGUGUUGAUGAUGAAAACCUAUCCCUGGCUGAAGCAGUGCACUAAUAGCUGAAGAGCGAGCUAUUCAAUGCUAGAACAGGACAGUGGAAUGGAUAUCAGGUCGGACUGUAAUCAUGGGGAAGGCUUAUGGGCCUGUCAGCAGCAUAUAAAUGCAGUCUCAGGAUUAUACAGGGGGAGAGCAGAUGAAAGGUAAGGAUUACAACUAACACUGUUCUAUCAACACCAGACCCUGGUUCCCUCACCACAGAACUAGCUAAGAAAAAAACCACGGAGGGGACUGCAAUGUCCUACUGUGCCCCACACAAUCCACAUUACUAGCCCUCAGGGCUACAAAGUCGAGACAAAUUGGUGUUGGCCACAAAAAGCAGUGUCUAACCAUAUACUGACCUCCAAACCUACCCACAGAGUUUAAAAGGCGGCUUUUGCUGUGCGAGGAUAUAGGUCUCUGACUGCCUUGUGUAAAGGGGUUCUCCACAUAUUAUUUGUAUCAUGAAAUUGUAUAUAUAUAUAUAUAUAUAUAUAAAUGUGCAUGUGUGAGAAGUGGCUUAGAGUGACAUGUUGCUUUUCCUUUAAUAUCUAGCGUCUCCAAGUAAAAAGCUCUGCAUGUUUGGGUUCUUUUUCUCUGUUUAUUUGACUUUUCUUUAAAAGAUAAGUAAACCUUUACAAUAAGUGAAUGUAAAACUGAUGAGGGUGCUACUCUUAGCACUUUUUGCAAUGUACAUUCAUCAUUUAGUUUUUUCACAUAUCCAAGGGAUACAUGUAUGUGUUAAAGGACCAGUAACAUAAAAAAAUAUAAGAAAAU